GGAGCCGUCCUUGAAAUACCACCCUUGUAUGUUUGAUGUUCUAACUUAGCCCCAUUAUCUGGGGUGAGGACAGUGCCUGGUGGGUAGUUUGACUGGGGCGGUCUCCUCCCAAAGAGUAACGGAGGAGCACGAAGGUGGGCUAAUCACGGUUGGACAUCGUGAGGUUAGUGCAAUGGCAUAAGCCCGCUUAACUGCGAGAAUGACGGUUCGAGCAGGUGCGAAAGCAGGUCAUAGUGAUCCGGUGGUUCUGUAUGGAAGGGCCAUCGCUCAACGGAUAAAAGGUACUCCGGGGAUAACAGGCUGAUACCGCCCAAGAGUUCAUAUCGACGGCGGUGUUUGGCACCUCGAUGUCGGCUCAUCACAUCCUGGGGCUGAAG
rnacentral:rRNA from 1 species